rnacentral:rRNA from 1 species
CCCUUAGAUGUUCUGGGCUGCACGCGCGCUACACUGAAGCUAUCAACACGUUUUCCCUCCCUGAGAAGGGCGGGUAACCUUUUGAAUCAGCUUCGUGGUAGGGAUCGGGGCUUGCAAUUGUUCCCCGUGAACCAGGAAUCCCUAGUAGACGCGAGUCAUAAGCUCGCAUCGAUUAAGUCCCUGCCCUUUGUACACACCGCCCGUCGCUACUACCGAUUGAACGUUUUAGUGAGGCAUUUGGACCGACGCAUCUCAGUUUAACCGCUGGUUUGUGUUGGAAAGACUUCCAAACUUGAGCGUUUAGAGGAAGUAAAAGUCGUAACA